rnacentral:rRNA from 1 species
AACGAACGCUGGCGGCAGGCCUAACACAUGCCAGUCGAGCGAGGACUUCGGUUCUAGCGGCGGACGGGUGAGUAACGCGUGGGAAUGUGCCCUUCUCUACGGAAUAGCCCUGGGAAACUGGGAGUAAUACCGUAUACGCCCUAUUGGGGAAAGAUUUAUCGGAGAAGGAUCAGCCCGCGUUGGAUUAGGUAGUUGGUGGGGUAAUGGCCUACCAAGCCGACGAUCCAUAGCUGGUUUGAGAGGAUGAUCAGCCACACUGGGACUGAGACACGGCCCAGACUCCUACGGGAGGCAGCAGUGGGGAAUCUUAGACAAUGGGGGCAACCCUGAUCGAGCCAUGCCGCGUGAGUGAUGAAGGCCUUAGGGUUGUAAAGCUCUUUCAGCUGGGAAGAUAAUGACGGUACCAGCAGAAGAAGCCCCGGCUAACUCCGUG